rnacentral:rRNA from 1 species
CCUACGGGAGGCAGCAGUGGGGAAUAUUGCGCAAUGGGGGAAACCCUGACGCAGCAACGCCGCGUGAGUGAGGAAGGACUUCGGUCUGUAAAGCUCUGUUAAUGUGGAAAAAUGGUAGUUGGUCUAAUAGGCCGAUUAUUUGAUGGUACACAUAGAGGAAGCACCGGCUAACUUCGUGCCAGCAGCCGCGGUAAUACGAAGGGUGCAAGCGUUGUUCGGAUUUAUUGGGCGUAAAGCGCGCGUAGGCGGACCUGCAAGUCAGAUGUGAAAUCUCGGGGCUCAACCUCGAAACUGCGUCUGAAACUACAGGUCUAGAAUCUUGGAGGGGGAAGGGGAAUUUCUCAUGUAGGGGUAAAAUCCGUAGAUAUGAGAAGGAACACCAGAGGCGAAGGCGCCUUCCUGGACAAGUAUUGACGCUGAGGCGCGAAAGCGUGGGGAUCAAACAGGAUUAGAUACCCUGGUAGUCCACGCUGUAAACGAUGAAUACUAGAUAUUGCAGGAUUUGACCCCAGCAGUGUCGUAGCUAACGCGUUAAGUAUUCCGCCUGGGGAAGUACGGUCGCAAGACUAAAACUCAAAGGAAUUGACGG